AACGAACGCUGGCGGCAUGCCUAACACAUGCAAGUCGAACGAGACCUUCGGGUCUAGUGGCGCACGGGUGCGUAACCCGGUGGAACCUGCCCUUAGGUUCGGAAUAACUCCCCGAAAGGGGUGCUAAUACCGGCUAAUGUAUUCCGUCCAAAGAUUUAUCGCGUUUGGAUGGGCCCGCGUGGGAUUAGCUUGUUGGUAGCGUAAAAGCGUAUCACGGCGACGAUCCAUAGCUGGUCUGAGAGGAAGAGCAGCGACACUGGGAGUGAGACACGGCCCAGAAUCUUGGGGGAUGCGGGAGUGGGGAAUAUUGGAAAGUGGGGGAAAGCCUGAUGCAGUAAUGCCGCGUGAGUGAUGAAGGCCUUAGGGUUGUAAAGCUCUUUAAUCCGGGAUGAUAAUGACAGUACCGGGAGAAUAAGCACCGGCUAACUCCGUG
rnacentral:rRNA from 1 species